AACAUGUGUUUUCUGUUUUCUUGAGUAUAUAUAAACUUAGGAGUAAAAUUACUGGGUCAUAUGGUAAUUCUGUGUGUAGCUUUUGAGGAACCGUCAAGUUUUUGCCCACAGGGCUAUAGCAUUUUCCAUGACCAUCAGCAAUGUACGAGGAUUCCAGUUUCUCGGCAUCUCCAGUUUCUCCGCAUCUCACCAACACUUGUUAUAACCAUGCUAGUGGGGUGUGAAAGGACUAUUGCUUUUUGCUAAAGUAUAUAAAUAAAAUACACAGUUCAGUAUUGAUAGAAUAUUGCCACAGAAUUGGUGAGGAAAUCCGUGGAUUUCAGUAUUGGUUUAUAUGUUCUAGGAGGAUGGACUCAGACAAGUUCUGGAGGAGAUGAAAGCUUUGUAUGAACAAAACCAGUCUGAUGUGAAUGAAGCGAAGUCAGGUGGACGAAGUGAUUUGAUACCAACUAUCAAAUUUCGACACUGUUCUCUGUUAAGAAAUCGACGCUGCACUGUAGCAUACCUGUAUGAUCGCUUGCUUCGGAUCAGAGCGCUCAGAUGGGAAUAUGGUAGCAUCUUGCCAAAUGCAUUACGAUUUCACAUGUCCGCUGAAGAAGUGAGUUAGCAUUGUUCAAGUUUAUAAAUUUUGAAAAUGCUGAAGUUCUAGCAUUGUUCUAUAAUAGUGUUUAUUGGUAUUCCUCUUUCUGUUUUUAAUGUCUGUUUUCCCCCAAUUUUUGUCUGGUGUUUAGUAUACGAUGUGAGGGGAGCUAUGUGGUGUGGAGUAAUUCUAAAUGAUAUGUGGAAAAUUCUAUUAUUACUUAACAAAAUGGAGUCCCAUGAUGUUACUUAUUAGUGAUCCAAUCAGUGGGAUUAAAAAACUGGCAUUAUUAUUUGGGGAUAUUCCAUAAAAUGUUUAUGUGUAUAUAUACUUUCCUAAUGAAAAUUCAUAUUUGCCUAGUCACUGAGGCAAAGAGCUAGCCCAUUA